rnacentral:lncRNA from 1 species
UGCUGUUGGUGGUGGUACUGGUUCAGGUCUGGGGUCGCUUCUUCUGGAGCGUCUCUCUGUUGACUAUGGAAAGAAGUCAAAACUUGGUUUCACAAUAUAUCCUUCACCACAAGUCUCAACUUCUGUUGUUGAGCCUUACAACAGUGUCCUGUCAACUCAUUCCCUCCUUGAGCACACUGAUGUUUCCAUCCUUCUGGACAAUGAAGCCAUUUAUGACAUUUGCAGGCGCUCACUGGACAUUGAGCGCCCUACUUACACCAACCUUAACCGCCUUAUCUCACAGGUAGCUUAAUAACCUGUCAUUCAUGAUUGUCUAACGAAAAAAUUAACUCCAAUUUUGAUAAUAUUAACAUUUGUCCAAUCUGUGCAGGUUAUCUCUUCACUCACAGCAUCUUUGAGGUUUGAUGGUGCUUUGAAUGUUGAUGUGAAUGAAUUCCAGACCAAUCUUGUGCCAUACCCCAGGAUCCAUUUUAUGCUUUCCUCGUAUGCUCCUGUCAUUUCUGCUGAGAAGGCCUACCAUGAGCAGCUCUCAGUUGCAGAGAUCACCAACAGUGCCUUUGAGCCAUCUUCCAUGAUGGUUAAGUGUGACCCUCGUCAUGGCAAGUACAUGGCGUGCUGUCUCAUGUUCCGUGGUGAUGUGGUGCCAAAGGAUGUUAAUGCUGCUGUGGCCACCAUCAAGACUAAGCGCACCAUCCAAUUCGUUGACUGGUGCCCUACAGGAUUCAAGUGUGGUAUUAACUAUCAGCCACCAACUGUUGUUCCUGGUGGCGACCUUGCUAAGGUGCAGAGGGCUGUUUGCAUGAUUUCCAAUUCAACCAGUGUCGCUGAGGUCUUCUCACGCAUUGACCAUAAGUUUGAUCUGAUGUAUGCCAAGCGUGCUUUUGUCCAUUGGUAUGUUGGUGAGGGCAUGGAGGAAGGUGAAUUCAGUGAAGCACGUGAGGAUCUUGCUGCCUUGGAGAAGGAUUAUGAAGAGGUUGGUGCUGAAGGUGAUGAUGAAGGGGAGGGAGAAGAUGAUGAUGAGUACUGAGCUGUGUUGUAAUAUGUAGAAUGCUUUUCUGCUUUUAUGUUACCAGUUACUGCCUUUAUGAUGCACUAGUAAGACCUUAUAUUUCUUGAGAUUGUUAAAUUCUGCUGUGAUGUUAAAACAUUGGUGUUUGUUUUACUAAGUUCUUUGUUAUGUUUUGCUUUCUCUAUUAUCAUCUUUACCCAGUGAUUUAUCAUUUUUAGGAUAUGAAAAUUUGGAGGGUGUUAAAUUCUGCACGUGAGGACUGCUGAUGUAUUAAAUGGUCAGCACUUAUCCUUCAAAGCUGAAAUUUAAGAAGAAUAGAAAAUUAACUCGCAGUCGAACACGGAACCAAAGAAUAUAUAGUUCUCUUAUAAUGCUCGAACAUCUCUUCUCAAGCCUAAAUGCUCAUUCAUUCCUCCUUGCUGCGUAACCUAGCAAGCUAAAAACAUGAUCUUUACACAAAUAGCCAGCUAGAUUUAUUGUUUUUAGAAAAGUGAUUACUUGGCAGCCAAGACCAAAGACAAGGAAUCUAGUCAUGUUUACCAAAGAAUAUAUAGUUCUCUUAUAAUGCUCGAACAUCUCUUCUCAAGCCUAAAUGCUCAUUCAUUCCUCCUUGCUGCGUAACCUAGCAAGCUAAAAACAUGAUCUUUACACAAAUAGCCAGCUAGAUUUAUUGUUUUUAAAAAAGUGAUUACUUGGCAGCCAAGACCAAAGACAAGGAAUCUAGUCAUGUUUAAAAAGAAAUUGUUGCAUUACCUGCUGUGCAU